CAGUAGCCGCGGGAAUACGGAGGGUGCGAGCGUUAAUCGGAAUAACUGGGCGUAAAGGGCACGCAGGCGGUGACUUAAGUAAGGUGUGAAAGCCCCGGGCUUAACCUAGGAAUUGCAUUUCAUACUGGGUCGCUAGAGUACUUUAGGGAGGGGUAGAAUUCCACGUGUAGCGGUGAAAUGCGUAGUGAUGUGGAGGAAUACCGAAGGCGAAGGCAGCCCCUUGGGAAUGUACUGACGCUCAUGUGCGAAAGCGUGGGGAGCAAACAGGAUUAGAUACCCCCGUAGUCCCUGUCUCUUAUAC
rnacentral:rRNA from 1 species